rnacentral:rRNA from 1 species
UACGAACCGUCCUAACGUUAUUCGGAAUCACUGGGCUUAAAGGGUGCGUAGGCGGCCCGAUAAGUUGGGUGUGAAAUCCCUCGGCUCAACCGAGGAAUAGCGCUCAAAACUGUCGGGCUCGAGGAAGAUAGAGGUAAGCGGAACUUAGGGUGGAGCGGUGAAAUGCGUUGAUAUCCUAAGGAACACCGGUGGCGAAAGCGGCUUACUGGGUCUUUACUGACGCUGAGGCACGAAAGCUAGGGUAGCGAAC